UUGUACGCUGGCGGCAGGCCUAACACAUGCAAGUCGAGCGGAUGAAGGGAGCUUGCUCCUGGAUUCAGCGGCGGACGGGUGAGUAAUGCCUAGGAAUCUGCCUGGUAGUGGGGGAUAACGUCCGGAAACGGGCGCCAAUACCGCAUACGUCCUGAGGGAGAAAGUGGGGGAUCUUCGGACCUCACGCUAUCAGAUGAGCCUAGGUCGGAUUAGCUAGUUGGUGGGGUAAAGGCCUACCAAGGCGACGAUCCGUAACUGGUCUGAGAGGAUGAUCAGUCACACUGGAACUGAGACACGGUCCAGACUCCUACGGGAGGCAGCAGUGGGGAAUAUUGGACAAUGGGCGAAAGCCUGAUCCAGCCAUGCCGCGUGUGUGAAGAAGGUCUUCGGAUUGUAAAGCACUUUAAGUUGGGAGGAAGGGCAGUAAGUUAAUACCUUGCUGUUUUGACGUUACCAACAGAAUAAGCACCGGCUAACUUCGUG
rnacentral:rRNA from 1 species